UCCCCUACUCUGAUUAGUGUGAUUUCACAUUCUUAUGGGCACAUUAUGUUUUAGGAAAUGCUUCUGAGGGGAUGUUCUUAUGGGCACAACAUGUUUGUGGCAUAUAUUUUUAGGCCAAUAAUUUGGUGCUUCUGAAAUGGAAUGUUAAUACAUGAAACUUUUUCUCUGUUGAAACGUUGUCAUUAAGGGUAAGCAAAAUGGAGUGCAACUCGUGCCAGCCCUUGUCAAAAGGAUGCUGGACAAAGGCAUGUUUUUGUUUGGCUACAUGAAUUUGCUGGGUGUGAUGGCAGUGAGAAGCAGGUCAAGGGCUUGACUGCAUUGCAGAAUAAACGAGUCAAAUUUGCCUGUGACAAGUAUGUGAUUUUUGCCAGUGUGAAGUCAAGCAUUAGCAUUUGUAUUUUCAGUAUAUUGCACCAAAGAGUACUUAGAUUAUUGACACAACAACAUGAGUUUUUAGUAUGGUUUUUUAUCCUUGUGUUGGUGUUUCAAGUAAUUUGCACCUAUGGAUACAUAAAUAAGAUUGGUGACAUAUUUUUCACCUCACUGAUGCACACUCAGUGAGACACUGCAUUUACACUACUUCAUGAUUUGCAGUUUACACACUUCCUGUGAGGUUAUGAUCCUUCCAGUUUUAUUUGAACAUAAUCUCAUUAAGAUGGACCUUUGCUUCCUCUUAAUUUCCUUAAGGCCUGAUUCGAGAAUUGUUAUGCUGUGUUAAUGGGUUGGAAAUAUAACAUCAUAACUUCAGGGGCAGCCUGCCAGUCCGUUCUUUUUGUGAUGAGAAAAUUUAUGCAAAUGCACUUCUAUUACUAGACACAUUUCAUCUACCUCCAGGGUGCGGAGUUUGAGCUUGAUAGCAUCAAGAAAUUGUCAAAGGAGUAUGCUGAAGCCAAAGAAUUGGCCCUUGCAUGUGCUUGCCCCCUUGUUACCUGUGCCUUACAUUUUCUACAUGUGUAGGCAGGCCAAACCGUUGACCUUGAAGAUGCUGAGCACUUCCUUCAGAGUGAUACACUUUUUGGCGACAAGAUAGAUGAGAUCGUCAAAGAAUGGGAUGCAAUUGUGCAAUUGAGAGGUGGUAAAUCAUUCUCUCAUUCGGAACAGCUGUAGAACUUGUAAUCUAAAUGUAAUACCUUUGGAAAGUUAUUUGGUGAUGUGCAUCUUUCUGGUAUGCUCUAGCAUAAACACAAGUGUUAUUUAGGUGUUUGUUGAUGCGGAGCAACAAUUAUACAAUUAUGAUUUGUGUUAUCCCAAAUCUUAGACAUGUUUUUUUCA